ensembl:lncRNA
CUGAUUGUAUAUUCCAGGCUGUUUGCACACUUUAUUUCCCUGUGACUGUGCUUGUGCUUAGUCAUUCUACGUGUGUUUGCACAAGGGUGUUGGCGGUUUUGAUGUACUGGGUUUCCUGCAUAGUUGUCAAGAAGCAAGCAAACACAGCUGGCCACCUGAUUGACUCUUAGCAAAACUGACCCUCUACAAAAUGGCACCAAACGUGACCACACAAGCACAAAUCCAGAGUGAGGAGGGGGUGAAUGGUUUUUGGACCCAUUUUGAUGUCUGGAGCAUAUUAUUGUUGUUCUUUCAUGGACAAUCAGUAUCACUCGGAGCUAUUCAUUCGAGUACAGGAUGACACAGUUUUGCAGGUUGAAAACAGCUUGCGUUUGUCCUCUCUUCUGCCUUUGAAGUUGUGCAUUCUUACCUCACUACAUCACUGGAGGUGUACAGCUGCCUCGGAGGAAGGUGAGGUUAGCGUUACUGAAAUAUAUUUAUAUAUAUAUAUAUAUAUAUAUAUAAAAAAAAAGAACAAAGUGUUUGAAAGAAGAAAGAGCUCUCGAGGUUUAAAAGCACUAGAAAUUAAGAGUGACGGAAGAGCCGCUUCCCAAAAUAGCAUUGAGUUUAGUGCUACUCUGAUGUUUGGGGAAAUGAACAGAAUUAAACUCUUUAAGCACUUUAUGGGAGAUUUAAUGGUGGAUUCGUUCGACUUAUGACCACAGAUUUCCUCAUUUACUCGCCCUUGUGUCGCUCCAAACCCGUAUGGCUUCUGUGGAGCACAAAAUAAGAUGGUUAGCAGAAUAUGUUUGGGUUGAUCUUAUCUUUACAAGUAAAGCAUAUACUUAAAGAUGGGUUCAUUUCUACUGUCGCAUCGAGUCUUUCAGGGUCAUUUUCACGCCAGACGGCAGUGAGCAUCUCGAAACUAAGUCAAGCUCCACCCUGACCCCUGUGGGUCGCCACCACAAACCCAGAUCUGAAACCAGUCCAGACCUCAUUUGGUGUCUCAAUACUUUACAACACAGGGCAUUUUUUACAUCAUUUUCUUUCAUCAAGGCUACAGUGUCAAAUAGCAAGGCAUUCGUUACCCAAUAGAUAGGAGCAUUCCUAUUUUCUUGAAGAAACUACCAUGGAACCUGAAGAUAUGUGCAUGCUUAUAGUUUGCACAGAACUAAUGCGCAUAACUUUCCCCAUGUGGCUUGAAUCAAACAUCUUUCCAAAAUAAAUGACAGGGGUGUCUCGAUAUGGCCUCAGUUGUGAUGCUCUGAGACGCACCGAUAACAGAUUUCAGCUGAGAUUCUUCCUAUAUCAGAACCUAUAGAAGUAUUUGGUUUCCUAACAGAUGAACUUCACAAACUCUCUGAGGUUUCAUCAAGGGAGCUUCUGAUAAUGUGAAUUUUACUAAGUUGAUUGUUUCUCAGCUAUGAUUUAUUCAUGUUAACUGUAAAUGAGUCAACUGCUGGUAAAACAGUCUCAUUCAGACAAUCAACAGCAAAAUAUCUUGUUCAACAAAUUAGCAUUGCAUGACAUUUUCAUACGUACACAUAAUAUUUGGCUCUGAAGUGAAAAAUGUCUUGCACAGAUAUUAUACUGUGUAAUUUCUAAAUGCAUUCAAAAUCUUGGGGACUGUACGAUUUUCUUACAGAAAUUAAUACUUUUAUUCAUCAAGGAUGCAUUUAGUUGAUCAAAAGUGACAGUAAAGACAUUUAUAAAGUUAAAAAACUAUUUCCGUAUCAAAUAAAUGCUUCUUUUGAGCUCUCUAUUCAUCAGUGAAUCCUGAAAAAUAAAAUGCAUCAUGUUUUCCGCAAAAAUAUUGGGGCAGCACAACUGUUUUUAACAUUGAUGCUGAUCAGAAAUGUUGUUUGGGUGCAAAUUAGCAUAUUCAAAUCAUUUCUGACGGAUCAUGUGACACUUAAGACUGGAGCAAUGAAGCUGAAAAUUCAGCUUUUUAUCUCAAUUAGCAAUCGAUUACAGCUUAUAAUAUAGUCUAAUAGACAGCAGUGGUUUUAAAAUGUAAUAAUAUUUCACAAUUAUACCGUUUUUCCUAUUUUAUUCAAAAAAAUUCAGCCUUGGUGAGCAGAAAAUACUUUUUUUUUUAACAAUUUGUAACAACAGCACAAAUAAAAUCUGAACAAAAAAGAACAACCAAUAAUCCAAAAUCUACAUAAUUUAUCACACUGCAGUGCAUGCUGGAAAAUCACGAAACCCAAACAAACGGCCUGUUUAGGCUAGUUGGGAACACAUUUUUUGUUAUCUAACUCGUUUUUACAUUUUAUGACCCAAAAAGCCUCAUAUAAAGUGCAGUUCCUGUUUUAAUAAUGCACUGUGUUCCCGAAAUAAAACAUGGUGUUGUUUUAAAAAAGACGACAGAGAUGCGGAGUCGAAGCCAAUCAAAGCGGCAUCGGCAAGAUUAAUGGAGGAGUGAAACAGAGGCUUCUCGAUGGGACCCAAACCAUAUUAAAAAACAACUGGAUCCUCAUCUGGUUUACACAGGAUUUGUCAUCUCUCAUAAACAAAGCAUCUCUAGGACAAUCUCCAGCCGUAGCACUACACCAUCUCCAAUCCUGCUGCCAAUUAUUGCCUUUCUAACAAACAAUAAAAACACGCACAUUUCAUUACAAGUCUUCUUUAUUGUAUAUUGAGAACAUGCACUGACAAAUAUUUUGAAAGUUUUCAGAUAUUGUGGCAUCUAAAUAUGACUGUCAAGAUAAAAAAUGUAAAAAGGCAUGUUUGAUUAGUUAGAAAAGCAAUAAAGCACAUGAUUGAAGGAGUCAGAUUACCCAAAAAAAUGAAAAUUUACUGCAAAUGUUCUCAACCACAGACUAUCCGGAUGUAGAUGAGUUUGUUUCUUCAUCAGAUUUGGAGAAAUUAGCAUUCCAUCACUCACUCACCAAUGGAUGUAAAUGGGUGCCGUCAGAAUGAGAGUCCAAACAGCUGAUAAAAGCAUCACAAUAAUCCACACCACUCCAGUCCAUUAAUUAACAUCUUAAAAAACAAAAGCUGUGCCUGUAAGAAAAGAAAAAAUCCACAACAUUUAUACCUUCAAACCAUUGCUUCAGCAUAUAAUAUAACUCUAUAAUCCAAUAUGAACCAGUUCAAAAUCUAAACAAAUAAACAGGAGAUGGACGUUUCCACUGGAAGAAACAUUAUUAUGGAUUAUGGACUCAUAUUUCAGCCAAAAUCGACAGUUUGAAGUUAAAAGAGUCUUAAUGGAGGAUUUGUUUCUUACAAACACACUGCUUUUCUCUUCUCCAGAUGUUCACUGAUGGACUGGAGGGGUGUGGAUUAUUGUGGUGUUUUUAUCAGAUGUUUGGACUCUCAAUCUGACGGCACCCAUUCACUGCAAAUGAUCCACUGGUGGCACUUCUCUAAAUCUGAUGAAGAAACAAACUCAUCCUAAUCUCGGAUGGCCUGAGAAAAUAUUCCUCUUCUGUCUGGAGCACAAGAUGUUUGUUCCAAUCACUAUGAGCAAAAGUAGUAGUGAUGCCUGACAAGCGAACACUGCUAAUAAGGAAAGUAUUACAUGAAUCGAAAGCAGACCGUGUUUACAAUCUUCACAAAAGGCAUUAGUCAGAAUAUGCCUCAUUCUUUAUCAUCUUCCUAGAAAGGCUCUGGAUGUCACAUCCUCUUUGGGCGCAACCUGUCAGAUGUUGAGGAGGAGUCAGAAGCAAUGGGAAAGUGGGCUCAGCGCAGCGCACAAUGUGGUUCUGUUUAGGGGCGAGCCGCGUGGGUCUCGGAGAAAGACGUCUCUGCCAAGAACAUUGCUCCUAUCUCGUUCCACUGUAUUUGCUCCAAGGACGAUGGAAUCAUUCCUAGCACCAUGGAUGUAUUUUACAUGACGUAGGCGUUUUAAUCACGAGACGUGCUCAAACACAGCUACGCGCUGAUUUCUCCAAUUAACUUUUAUGACAUUGGGAACUAACACAUUUUACCGAAUCUCCCACGUUUUUGACUGACUGCGGGAUAAAACGAGCUCGAUAAAUGCGAGGGUGAUGGAGGCCAUUCUUGAAACUGUUCAGACUACAAAGACAUCCAUGUUUUUUAAACCUGCUGACUCAGUUUGGCCAUUUCAAAAAAACAUUGGCGCUCGCAUUUGGGUCACAUGCGCUCAGCUGUUCGACCACCCAGGUGGCGCGUCAACCCUAACAGCCAAUUAAAAUCAGGCAAGCUAGGUAGCAGUUAAGAAAACAGUCAGAAAACAAAGCUUUGUUAACACUGAAUUAUUCACCCUUUAAAUAUGAUGACAACAUGUUGAACCUGAAUCACCUUUAGUCAGUUUUACUUUUUAAUAUUUACUGUAAGUGAAGUCAACUUUCUGUUGUUUUUGCAUGCGCUGGGGAAAUAAAUUUGGUAUAAAUCACACCAAAUACUAAGACCAUUUGAAAUGUUUCGAUUCAACUUUUCUCUCAAAUUGUUAUGUUGACAAUAUAAAUGGUAAAUGUUUGUGUGCAAAAACGUGCUAAAUAAAUUCAGCAUUUACAAAGACAAACUUUUUCAAUUCCACUUUUUCACAUAGAUUGUUGUGACAAAAUAAAAUGUAAAUACAUUUUUGUUUAUAAAAAUGCAAAAAU